rnacentral:sRNA from 1 species
AGCAGCCGCGGUAAUUCCAGCUCCAAUAGCGUAUAUUAAAGUUGUUGCAGUUAAAAAGCUCGUAGUUGAAUUUCGGGAUCAGCAGGUUGGUCGUGCCUACGGUAUGAACUGGCCUUGCUGAUUCCUCCCUCUUGAUGAGCCGUAAUGCCAUUAAUUUGGUGUUGCGGGGAAUCAGGACUGUUACUUUGAAAAAUUAGAGUAGUUUAAAGCAGGCAAGCGCUUGAAUACAUUAGCAUGGAAUAAUGAAAUAGGACGUUUGAUCCUAUUUUGUUGGUUCUAGGAUUGACGUAAUGAUUAAUAGGGAUAGUUGGGGGCA